GUUUGUUCUAUGCCUACAAGGUGUUCGAUAAAAGCAAAAUGGCGGAUAUAUCACUUCUCUCCUCGCCGGUCAGAAGGAGCAGCAAGACGGGAGCUGAGGAGAGCCGGAGUCGGGGACAAGAAGCAGUGGGGACCGGGCUCCCGCAAGGAGUGGGGCUGCAGGGAGAGGAAGGAAGCCAUUGACAGAAGAAAAGAAGAUGUCAGCUCUGGUGCAUCAUGGAGAACACAGCUGCUCGCCCUCCUCCGCCUCUUCUUCCCUAACCAUGGAUUCGUUGUACGUCUCAUGUUCUCUAUCCAACGUCUACUAAGCUGCUACCUUGAACUUGUGAAAAAGUAUACAUAGAAAGUGUAGUAGUAACUAGAAUAUCUGUCAUUAGCUUGUCAAGCUUACACAAGAUAAACUGUAUGCUUGAAUUGAGGUUCAGAAAAUUCAGGCUUGGGUGAAUUUGGCAUGGGUAAUUGAUAUACGUGAUUGGUUCGUUUAUGUUGCAAACAUUGCCAGUUUAGGAAAUGUAUGAAAAAAAUCAGGCUGUGUAAAAAAUGAGUUAAUUCUUGACAGUAUUUUUUGCAAGGUUAUGUGCAUAUCCUGUUCGCAAAAAUGCUGAAUUAUAGGUACAGUAAUAUGUGUCGUCAUGAGUGCUGAAUGUACCACAUUAUUUUUCUGUCAAAUAAGUGAUGGUGCAAGCGUAGACAGUCAUGAAGAUUUUAAUCUACAAAUGGGACUGACUACCUGGGCUUAAUGUCAUUGAUCUGCAGAGUGCAGAUUGGGGCUGCUGCACUAGGCAGAGCACCAUGCCCUGAUAGGAUUUCAGCACCGAAAAAACAAUCAGGCAAUUCAGGGUUUUCUGAACCUGCGAUGCUCUGUGAACCCGCGAUGCUCUGUUUUUAUGUACCAAGUAAUUGUGAACAAGCACUUUUAUGUUAAUUAAGGGUUAGAAAUUGUGCUUUUUGGUAACGACAGCAGUGGAUGCAGUUAUUGCAGUAGUGGGUCGGUAUGAGCAGCUAUCUCCUACUUCCCUUGCUUUGAUCUUGUCUGGUGGGCCAUUCUAUGCACAGAAGUUUGUGCUUCACGGACGGCGAGGGUCGGAGCCGUGGCUCGACAUUUUGCUGCCGGCCUGCUUGUGGCGGAGCAUGGCGGGAGUCGGGGCGGCGUUCUGCUCUACAGGAGAAGCACGGGCUGGCAGUUGCAGCUGAGCUUCUAUGUAACAUAGCUCCGAUGAAUCCUGCCGCAUCUGGCCUCUGCAGGGAUUGAUAUUCCAAUCAAUCUGCUGAUGCGGUAUUUGUGGGAGAUGAAGAGUACCGACGGGUUCAAGCUAGGGGCCGUCUUUCUCGAGCUACAUUCAUGCUUCACAGCAGUUCACCUUCCCACAAUUGCUCAGGCUGCACAUCUGCUAGCUCAUGUGAACCAAUCUAUCCCACGAGAGCCUUGUAUUCUGCGUGUUGAUCUAAAUGUAUUGGAAAAAUGGUCUGGUUGCGGAACAUUUGGUACACAAUUUUUUAUUCAAGAUGGAACAAGUUUGUUAUCGAUAUUCUUGUAAAUGGUUUAUAUAGUUUGUUUUGUUAUUAAGCAAACAUAUGGUUGUAUGUUUUUCGGAUUUCAGAGGAAUAUCGAUACAAAAUAGAUAAGUCUUUCUCUUUUUCAUUUCCUGAUAUACCAUUUAACUUCACCAAAUAGAACAAAGAUGGCUACGAAGAAGAGCAUGUAUAAUUGAAAUACUUGUGUGAUGUCUACACUGUUGGCCGCAUGUAUCCACUAUUCAUCUCAAUCCAGUAGACACAGUUUUGUUAUUAUGUGCUGAUAUGCUCUGCAAUUUAGUAACAAUAAUCUUGCGUAAUGCAGACUAACAUGGCCAGAUGGUAUACUACAUUGGGUUUUCCCUGUCGGUUAAGAUUUCCAUGUGUUCCAAUCUGCCUCUAAAUAUAUUUAUGUUCACUCUUUCAAUACUUGCCUCGCUCUCGUCCCUUGCGCCAUCGGCGCAACGGGUCAUCUAGUAGGAGUAACCGAACAGUAACAUGCUACACUUCUCUAAUGCAAGCAAUAUAGAGAGGAAUAGGCGAUAUCUGGUGAUCA